AACUGCAGUCAAGUCGGUUCGU
rnacentral:miRNA from 1 species